rnacentral:rRNA from 1 species
GACGAACGCUGGCGGCGUGCCUAAUACAUGCAAGUAGAACGCUGAAGAGAGGAGCUUGCUCUUCUUGGAUGAGUUGCGAACGGGUGAGUAACGCGUAGGUAACCUGCCUUGUAGCGGGGGAUAACUAUUGGAAACGAUAGCUAAUACCGCAUAACAAUGGAUGACACAUGUCAUUUAUUUGAAAGGGGCAAUUGCUCCACUACAAGAUGGACCUGCGUUGUAUUAGCUAGUAGGUGAGGUAAUGGCUCACCUAGGCGACGAUACAUAGCCGACCUGAGAGGGUGAUCGGCCACACUGGGACUGAGACACGGCCCAGACUCCUACGGGAGGCAGCAGUAGGGAAUCUUCGGCAAUGGGGGCAACCCUGACCGAGCAACGCCGCGUGAGUGAAGAAGGUUUUCGGAUCGUAAAGCUCUGUUGUAAGUCAAGAACGGGUGUGAGAGUGGAAAGUUCACACUGUGACGGUAGCUUACCAGAAAGGGACGGCUAACUACGUGCCAGCAGCCGCGGUAAUACGUAGGUCCCGAGCGUUGUCCGGAUCUAUUGGGCGUAAAGCGAGCGCAGGCGGUUUGAUAAGUCUGAAGUUAAGGCUGUGGCUCAACCAUAGUUCGCUUUGGAAACUGUCAAACUUGAGUGCAGAAGGGGAGAGUGGAAUUCCAUGUGUAGCGGUGAAAUGCGUAGAUAUAUGGAGGAACACCGGUGGCGAAAGCGGCUCUCUGGUCUGCAACUGACGCUGAGGCUCGAAAGCGUGGGGAGCGAACAGGAUUAGAUACCCUGGUAGUCCACGCCGUAAACGAUGAGUGCUAGGUGUUGGAUCCUUUCCGGGAUUCAGUGCCGCAGCUAACGCAUUAAGCACUCCGCCUGGGGAGUACGACCGCAAGGUUGAAACUCAAAGGAAUUGACGGGGGCCCGCACAAGCGGUGGAGCAUGUGGUUUAAUUCGAAGCAACGCGAAGAGCCUUACCAGGUCUUGACAUCCCGAUGCUAUUUCUAGAGAUAGAAAGUUACUUCGGUACAUCGGUGACAGGUGGUGCAUGGUUGUCGUCAGCUCGUGUCGUGAGAUGUUGGGUUAAGUCCCGCAACGAGCGCAACCCCUAUUGUUAGUUGCCAUCAUUCAGUUGGGCACUCUAGCGAGACUGCCGGUAAUAAACCGGAGGAAGGUGGGGAUGACGUCAAAUCAUCAUGCCCCUUAUGACCUGGGCUACACACGUGCUACAAUGGUUGGUACAACGAGUUGCGAGUCGGUGACGGCGAGCUAAUCUCUUAAAGCCAAUCUCAGUUCGGAUUGUAGGCUGCAACUCGCCUACAUGAAGUCGGAAUCGCUAGUAAUCGCGGAUCAGCACGCCGCGGUGAAUACGUUCCCGGGCCU